AGCAGCAUGUCUUAGUGGAAAGACCAUGGACUUGGGAGUCAGAAGAUGUGGGUUCUAAUCCCACCUCAGCCA
rnacentral:tRNA from 1 species